AACGCUAGCUACAGGCUUAACACAUGCAAGUCGAGGGGCAGCAUGAACUUAGCUUGCUAAGUUUGAUGGCGACCGGCGCACGGGUGAGUAACGCGUAUCCAACCUUCCGUACACUCAGGAAUAGCCUUUCGAAAGAAAGAUUAAUACCUGAUGGUAUGAUGAGAUUGCAUGAAAUCAUCAUUAAAGAUUCAUCGGUGUACGAUGGGGAUGCGUUCCAUUAGAUAGUAGGCGGGGUAACGGCCCACCUAGUCGACGAUGGAUAGGGGUUCUGAGAGGAAGGUCCCCCACAUUGGAACUGAGACACGGUCCAAACUCCUACGGGAGGCAGCAGUGAGGAAUAUUGGUCAAUGGGCGCGAGCCUGAACCAGCCGAGUAGCGUGAAGGAUGAAGGUCCUACGGAUUGUAAACUUCUUUUAUAAGGGAAUAAAGUCACCCACGUGUGGGUGUUUGUAUGUACCUUAUGAAUAAGCAUCGGCUAACUCCGUGCCAGCAGCCGCGGUAAUACGGAGGAUGCGAGCGUUAUCCGGAUUUAUUGGGUUUAAAGGGAGCGUAGACGGGUCGUUAAGUCAGCUGUGAAAGUUUGAGGCUCAACCUUAAAAUUGCAGUUGAUACUGGCGUCCUUGAGUACGGUUGAGGCAGGCGGAAUUCGUGGUGUAGCGGUGAAAUGCUUAGAUAUCACGAAGAACUCCGAUUG
rnacentral:rRNA from 1 species